UGGGGAAUAUUGGACAAUGGGCGCAAGCCUGAUCCAGCCAUGCCGCGUGUGUGAAGAAGGCCUUUCGGUUGUAAAGCACUUUAAGCGAGGAGGAGGCUACUUGGAUUAAUACUCUAAGAUAGUGGACGUUACUCGCAGAAUAAGCACCGGCUAACUCUGUGCCAGCAGCCGCGGUAAUACAGAGGGUGCGAGCGUUAAUCGGAUUUACUGGGCGUAAAGCGUGCGUAGGCGGCUUCUUAAGUCGGAUGUGAAAUCCCUGAGCUUAACUUAGGAAUUGCAUUCGAUACUGGGAAGCUAGUGUAUGGGAGAGGAUGGUAGAAUUCCAGGUGUAGCGGUGAAAUGCGUAGAGAUCUGGAGGAAUACCGAUGGCGAAGGCAGCCAUCUGGCCUAAUACUGACGCUGAGGUACGAAAGCAUGGGGAGCAAACAGG
rnacentral:rRNA from 1 species